CCUCUUCCUCUCGAGGCGUUGACACUCCAAGGAGAAGGCCGAGAAGGAGUCGACGUCCUCCCCUGAAACUGUCUUUAGAGUGCCGGGCCAUGGAAGUGGAAAGUGACCAGCAGAAGAUAGAGAGAGGAAGAAAGUUGUGGCAAAGGGCCAAAGCAAGAAGAGCAGCUGGACACAUUUAGGGCCACGUAGUGCACACACCUAGAUGAGUCAGCUCCCCCACACACACAUUUUCUACACACUUUAUACACACACACACACACACUUGUCACAUAUUUGUUUAUUUUUGAAGUUCUUUGAGUUACCUCAUGAGUCUCUUUUGAAUGAGUCUGAUGGCGGGGACGCCAUCUCUUAAAGAAGGGGUGGGUGUAAGGUAGAUGCUGAGUUGCGCCACUAGGUGUCGCUGCACAUUAAAACAAGAGUUUACUAUUGAGAAUUGCCUUUUGUCCCUCUGACACACCGUAGGGGUUGAUAUCGCGGGUGUAAUGAGCAUUUCCUUUAGAGUUCUGAUAUCAACCUUGUAGGUAAGUCACGUUAGUUUCAUGGGAAGAUAAAGUACGAAAUAUUAAGCAUAUAAGCUGUUAUAAGUUUGUUUUGAUGAGCUAUUUUGAUGACUGAAACAUUAAGCACUUGAUAGCUGUGUAAUUUGUUGAGCUAACUACUUUAUAUUUUUGGUAAAAUCUACGUUUGGAAUACGAGUGUAAUAGCGCUAACUUGAAUGAGAUGUAGCAUUGUAAUACACUUUUCUAUUUGAAGUUUACUGAGAGUUCUGAUAUCAACCUUGUAGACCCCUGUGUUGUGAAUAAACCAACGGUAUUGCCACGAUCCCGAACCCAUCUGUGUCCGUGUGCAUCUCCUUACCGGCUGCCGCUGCCCCCCCCGCCAGAGGUCCAUUUCACACAUAAGCAGACACAACGCAGAGUAGCCUAGCUGUGGAGGUGUUGGAGAGCCGGCAGGCGCGCGCGAGAUACAGAGAGAGGGCUACAUAUACAU
rnacentral:lncRNA from 1 species